AAAUUUUCAGCAUACCGCCGACAAACAACGUGUCGUCUUAACGGCGUGCACCGACUUUGCGACUUUUGCGAUCAGUUGAUAACUGACGAUAAACUAACGUAAAACAAGCGAAAAAGCGAGAAAAAAAAAAAGCCGAAAAUGCGCGUACAGGUAAAAAAAGGCCAAAUAAGGCAAAAUAAACAAUGUUUAUCCGUAUUCCGUCGGUAUCGAAAUUAAGUGAAACACUUUUUUCUUAUUUAUCGUUCAAAAAAUACAAAAAUAAAAGGCCAUCUUAUUCGAACCUCGAUUGUUAUACUAUACCUUGCGGGUAUUCGGCAAAACACAAUCAACCACCAACCAUACAACCCAUUAUUAGUUUCCACCUAAACGAGUAUUAAAUAUCGGUUCUAAUCCAAUUACAUUUUAUUUCGAAAAUGAAACUAUAAGUACCUAUAUAAUUCACCGUUAUUAUAUUACCGAACCUAACGAGCGAUGUAAUUGGUUCAACAUGGAUGCACGUGCAUUUUGUCUUAACGUACUCGUAUAUAAUAUAAUAAAAUAUUAUUUAGUUAUACAAACGUUUAAUUUUCCGGAGGAGUAGUGUCCAAAUGUAUUGUGCAACGGUGGUGAUUGAAUUUAAUAUACGAAUAAUUAUUAAAUGCGCGAGGCGGCAAUUUAAUGACGCGUUUACAAAUUCGAAUAUCUCGUGGAAGAUUAAGGGUAACCUAUCGAAAACAUAUGACGCGUUUUAUAAUAAUUUUAAUUAUAAUUAUUUCUCUGUGCUCGAUUUACUCGGUAUAUUAUUUAAAUAAUUCUCGAAUUCCCUAACCGAACUCCCCUCAGAAUCCUUCUUC